rnacentral:misc_RNA from 1 species
UUUUUUUUUUUUGAAAAAAAAAAUUUAGAAUUCCUUUAAAAAAAAAAAUUCAAUAUGAUAAUUUUACAAAAGCAACUCCAGUGACUUUUUUCUGUAACGAUGGCUACAUAAGAUCAAACUCUUCUUCACUAGCCAUGAUCNNNNNNNNNAGUUACAUACCAUUUCCAAAGGCAAUCCCCAACACCAUCAAGACAAAAACCCAUUUGCAGGAAAGCAUAAACGAGGGGAGAUAAAGUGACCAACUCCAUUUCACCUGGAAUUGGGAAGCGUCACCAUCUUUUCUUACUUAUUUAAACAG